GUUGAGGUCUAUCCCAAUGGGCCUUUUUCUGUAGACUUACAUUGUAAGAAAUGCCUUGUAGAGUAAAUAUGUUGCUUCCCUUAUUCACAGAACUAUGUGUUAGAUCUGUGGGAAGGAACUACAAGACAGAA